ACUUGUCGCGUAUAUGAAAGUGACACUUUUCCCGCUCUCCCCCUUGUCCCCUCAGGGUUUGGGAUGGGGGCGGCGGGGGAGUUUAAGGGUUGGAUAGGGCGGCCUUGUGGCGCUUAACGAGCGGCCUCGCGGGAGAAGGGGCUGCGGCCAUCCGUCUAAGCGGCGGGUUUGGCCGGCACGCUCCACUAGAGCUCGUGCGACAGGCGGCGCAAGGCUAAGUUAAAAACAGAGGCAGAUAGCUAAACGAGAGUUUAGCAAGAACAGAAGGGCAGGUCUCAGCGGCGGCGACCCCCAAGCGUUGCGGCGGCAACGAGCGGUAGCAGGCGUCGCGGGAUCAACUAGCCUUAGACUAGACUGCAUGCCUCGUGGCCGCUGGUCAGUGGUACGGCCCUUGGCCUCCGCGCUGGCAGGACCUGCUGGAAAGGCUCACCUAGCAACAGCUUCUCUAGGAGUAGGCAAACGGCGGGUUCCUGUAGGAGGCGACGGCGCGGCAGGCGUCCACCACCGUGUCACGGUGGAGGUGGCUGUUCAAGUACGACCUGGUGGUGGCGGCGGUCGGGAACGAGGGCUACGAGUCGGUUCAGCAGCUGGGCGUCGGCGUCCUUCGGGCGGAGGACAAAAGGAAACUACGGCCACGUCCGGUCGUUUUUGAGACGGGACAACAGGCCUGGAUGCUGAUGCCAUUUGAGGUCCGGCGGACACUACCGGAGGAGUAACAGAGGGUGCCUAGGUACUGCCUACUCAAGUAGACGUUGGGCCAGUGGGCGUUCAGACGGGCGGAUCGUUUCGGAGACCGGGUUGUCCCAAUAAUGGUGGUCUAAUAGCCGAAGAUGGCCGUGGUUGGUAGACCUCCUCUUAAGGCUCAAGAUACCUAGAGAUCAGGCCGUUAGAUGUUACGUAUGUUGUGUUUAAUGUCUUGAAAGAUGAUGCAGUAUCGCCGCCCUAGGCUAUUAUGUUCUAUGUACUCUGUUCCUACGUAUGGUGUUGGUUAUAGGAGCAGCGGAAGGAACCUCGACCGUAAUGCGUCCCCGGACGGACUAAGCAGGGUUAUAGGUGGUCAGGUGGUGGCACCGCCGGACGUGACCUUUGAACCUUUUAUGGUGCCGACGCUACGCCUGAUGUAUUACCACAAGUUGUGUAGUCGACUUUUUAAAGCUAACUACACAGCAGGACGGGCUAACCCGUUGACGAAUGUCCUCAGUAACGACCUCUACUUACUGUGAGAACGAAACACGUCGUAGUCAUCACUGUUUGUGUGGUAUCUACAAACCCACCAUGUCCUAAUGCUACGGCUCUGGACCAGAAAGUUCGUAGUCUAAUUAAACUGGCCCCACCUAGGUAGUCGCGAACAACUAGGUCUCCACUGUUACUAGGGAUCCUACCGACGAGAGUCACUCCCACAAGACGACUAGGUCAAGUGAGCAUCCGCACACAACGUAAAACUGUAGCUACCGUUCAAGAAUCCUAUACACUUCUCGUUUCUACUGGUUCUUUAGCUGAAUACCCAAUGGUUAGUAAUGGAGGCUCCCUCGCAAUAAGGGGAAGGUGACGGGGUACUCUACUCUCUACUUCUACCACGUUCAGUCCUCGGAGGUAAAAAGCAACCUAACAUCCUAUGUCACGAACUAGGACUACAAGAUGUGACGUCUAAAUUCGAAACCCUUGUCACUACGCUAUUUUAAGAGUUGGUAGUUACAGCUACACUUAAAAGAAAACAACGCCCCUUAAAUACACUUGAGAAACAUCUUAGGUAAUAAGAGUUCAACGAAGAUAGGUGUACCACAAAAUCACAAUUCAGACUUCUCCCACCUACUCUGAGGUAAGUCGACGAGUACACAGUCAGACUUCUCGAGUGCUUCGAUCGAUCAAUAACACACGUAGUACAGUACUACACUACACGAACCGAGAACAAGUAGACCACAGAAUUAAACAUCAUGAAGUAUCAUACGAACAUGAACGAUCGUUACGUAGAACCUUUCAACCUUCCUAUUCCUCCGUCGGUCGUCAGAUGACCACAUUUGGACUUGACUUGACUCGAGAGUGUUGACUCAUCUGAGACGAAAGAUACAUUAAAAAAAUUUUGUCGUCUGAGACGAAAGAU
rnacentral:rRNA from 1 species